AACGAACGCUGGCGGCAGGCCUAAUACAUGCAAGUCGAACGAGAAAGUUCUUCGGAAUGAGUACAGUGGCGCACGGGUGAGUAACACGUGGGUGACCUACCCUUUAGCGGGGAACAACAGAGAGAAAUUUCUGCUAAUACCGCAUACGUUGUGCAAAUUUGGAAAUAGCACAAGAAAGUGGGCUUCGGCUCACACUAAAGGAUGGGCCCGCGGGGCAUUAGCUAGAUGGUGGGGUAAUGGCCUACCAUGGCAACGAUGUCGAACUGGUCUGAGAGGAUGACCAGUCACACUGGAACUGAGACACGGUCCAGACUCCUACGGGAGGCAGCAGUAGGGAAUCUUGCGCAAUGGGGGCAACCCUGACGCAGCCAUGCUGCGUGAGUGAGGAAGGCCUUCGGGUUGUAAAGCUCUGUCCUAUGGGAAUAAUGACAUUAGGGUUAAUACCCCUAGUGUUUGAAGGUACUAUAGAAGAAAGCACCGGCUAACUUCGUGCCAGCAGCCGCGGUAA
rnacentral:rRNA from 1 species